CUCAGAUGCAUGUCACUGAUAUAUACCAGACUGAGCAGAUAAACAUGCAUCUUUAUUACGUGUCAAACAUGAAAUAGUAUCUCAUAUAUGUGCAACUGAUGUUUAUGUGUGUUUGUGUUUCUGUAUCCACAGAAGGAGGAACAUGUGAGGUGAUCGCAGCACACCGAUGUUGCAACAAGAACCGUAUUGAGGAACGUUCCCAGACGGUCAAGUGUUCAUGUUUACCAGGAAAAGUGGCUGGCACGACACGAAACAAACCCUCCUGUGUAGACGCCUCCAUUGUGAUUGGGAAGUGGUGGUGUGAGAUGGAGCCAUGUCUGGAGGGAGAAGAGUGCAAGACGCUACCAGACAACUCCGGCUGGAUGUGUUCCUCUGGGAAUAAGAUCAAGACCACGAGGAACACCCAGCCAUAUUCCACUUUUUAGCUCUGAGGGCCACUCAAUCUUCAGAAGCUCAGCGGCGUCCUUCUCCUCAUCAAGAUUCAUCCCCGGACCUAACAAAGAGCUCCUUCACAGGCGGUGAAUGUGGAUUCUCUCUGUCAAAAAAAUGGACGAAACCAUUCAUUCAAAGGGGUGUUUGACUGGAUUACCUGUGAAUGAACAAUAAAGGAGGAUAAAUACACAAUAUUUGCUCAUUCGGUGCCAAGGAAUAUAUGAAAAAUCGAAAUAAAGCAGGCUAAUCUGUGUUUUGAUCAAUGAGCCCAACGCUGCGGACUCAACAGUCCUGUACACUUCCGUCGAUUUUCUGUGUUUCUCCUGACCACCUUCCUCUGGUUCUAAACUUAUACAGCUUAGAGGAGCCGUUUACUGGAUUUCAAAUUAUACCUGAAGACUUUACCUCCCUAGGUAAACUGGACAAUCCUGAUAUAAGCUGUGAACGACUGUAUGAAGGAUCAUGAUGGAUAAGCGCUGGUCUGUGAAAAUGAGGAGGAAAUCAAUAGGAGAUUUUUUCCAUCCCUCCAUCAAUCUGUCAUUGCGUCGUCCACGCUGGCUUUGGUAAUAGACUGGGAGUUUGUGAAGCCCUACUGUUUCCCCUCCACUUCUGAGUUUAUCACUCAGUGCUACUGUCUACAUGCUGUUCGUUUUGGAAAAUCCCCCCCGCAGGUCAAAGCUCACCCUCUCACCGUCUACACCUACUUGAGCCAGAUAUCUUUUUAUUUGUCGGCAUGCUCAAUGUAUUUUGUGGGAGCUUUGUAUUGAAAGUAACUGUAUAUAUUUCUGUAUAUAUACAUAUAGAUACAUAUUAAAAGAUAUCAUAUGAAGAUCUAACAUGCCCAUAAACCUGUUCAGUGGGACUAUA